UACGGGGGGGGCAAGCGUUGUUCGGAAUUACUGGGCGUAAAGGGCUCGUAGGUGGCCAACUAAGUCAGACGUGAAAUCCCUCAGCUUAACUGGGGAACUGCGUCUGAUACUGGAUGGCUUGAGAUUGGGAGAGGGAUGCGGAAUUCCAGGUGUAGCGGUGAAAUGCGUAGAGAUGGGGGAGAACACUCGUGGCGAAGGCGGCCAGCUAGACCAGUUCUGACACUGAGGCGCGAUAGCGUGGGGAGCAAACAGG
rnacentral:rRNA from 1 species